AGAGAGUGCAAAGGUUUGGGGCAUUUCACAGAUCUUCUCUGAACCUUAAAUUUUCAUGAUAUCCUCAAAAGAUGAUGCAUUCCUUGUUCUGGAAGGGAGGGGAGAACAUGCAAACCUCACACCAGGCUAAGCUGGCUUUCUGCUGAUUGAAUUCUGCAGACAUCAAUAGAGAUGCAUUUCACCAUCUGGAGCAGUUUCGCGGCGUUUUUCCCAAGGAAGACAGCAAAGAACUGGUGCAUCCCUUGAAGAGGGUUAAAGCGGAGCAGAGCCCAGUUAGAGACGUGGAACUCAAUUCAGGUGUAAUCCACCUGGCAGGGAAAUUCCAGAGUAAUCUUUUGGAAGAAGUCGCUGCUGACUUGGGAAAGGCUGCAAUUCUGCGGCGCUGGGCAGAGCAAGGCCUCGGCAUCGGGCCACGUGCCACGGGCUGGAAGAAAUGGAAAUUCUCAAUCGGUUGUGACUCAGCAGUGAAUCCGGGCGGCUAG
rnacentral:lncRNA from 1 species